UACGUAGGUGGCAAGCGUUGUCCGGAAUUACUGGGUGUAAAGGGAGCGUAGGCGGGGUGUCAAGUUGAAUGUGAAAUCGGCCGGCUUAACUGGUCGCUGCGUUCAAAACUGACGCUCUUGAGUGGAGCAGAGGCAGGCGGAAUUCCUAGUGUAGCGGUGAAAUGCGUAGAUAUUAGGAGGAACACCAGUGGCGAAGGCGGCCUACUGAACAUUAACUGACGCUGAGGCGCGAAAGCGUGGGGAGCAAACAGG
rnacentral:rRNA from 1 species